rnacentral:rRNA from 1 species
GGGGACUUUAAUCAAAUUUUGCAAGCUCAUGAGAAAGAUGGGGGAGCGGCACGCCCCCAACGAUGUAUGCAGGCUUUUAGCAGCGCGCUGAGCGAUUGUGGGCUUGACGAUCUCGGUUAUUUGGGCGACAUCUUCAGCUCGCGUAGAGGCCGAAUUCGGGAACGACUUGAUAGAGCUGUAUCGAGUAGCUCUUGGGCUGAUCUAUUCCCAGCCUAUGGCGUCUCUAAUGAACCGUUUAAUAAAUCAGAUCACCGGCCGAUCCUAAUUGAUAUUGAUUUCCAUCAAGGAUUACAUCCAAGGGGUCCGCUGGGACCGAGGAAAUUUGAAGCGAGGUGGCUUGCGGAGGAAGAUGUGGAGGUGAUAGUCCAAGCGGCCUGGGAUAGAGCAAAAGCUAGGGGGACCGGGCCCUACUCACAAGUGAGAGGGGAGAUACAUGCAGCCUUGCACACUUGGGAUAAAGAGACUCUAAAAGGCCCGUGA